rnacentral:rRNA from 1 species
AACGAACGCUGGCGGCAUGCCUAACACAUGCAAGUCGAACGAGACCUUCGGGUCUGGUGGCUCAUGGGUGCGUAACGCGUGGGAACCUUCCCUUAUGUUCGGGAUAACUCCCCGAAAUGGGUGCUAAUGCCGGAUAAUUUCUUCUGACCAAAGAUAUAUCGCCUUUGGAUGGGCCCGCGUUGUAUGAGCCAGUUGGUAUGGUAAAAGCCUACCAAGGCUACGUUCGCUAGCUGGUCUGAGAGGAAGAUCAGCCACUCUGGGACUGAGCCACGGUCCAGACUACUACGCGAGGGAGCAGUGGCGAAUCUAGGACUAUGGGCUAAGUCAUGAUCCAGCACUGCUGCGUGAGUGCUGAAGUCCGUAGAGAUGUAAAGCUCUUUUAUCCGCGAUGAUACUGACAGUACCGGGAGAAUAAGCUCCGGCUAACUUCGUG